rnacentral:rRNA from 1 species
GACGAACGCUGGCGGCGUGCUUAACACAUGCAAGUCGAACGGAAAGGCCCUGCUUUUGUGGGGUGCUCGAGUGGCGAACGGGUGAGUAACACGUGAGUAACCUGCCCUUUACUUUGGUAUAACUUCAGGAAACUGGGGCUAAUACCGGAUAGGAGCUCCUGCUGCAUGGUGGGGGUUGGAAAUUUUCGGCGGUUGGGGAUGGACUCGCGGCUUAUCAGCUUGUUGGUGGGGUAGUGGCUUACCAAGGCUUUGAAGGGUAGCCGGCCUGAGAGGGUGACCGGCCACAUUGGGACUGAGAUACGGCCCAGACUCCUACGGGAGGCAGCAGGGGGGAAUAUUGAACAAUGGGCGGAAGACUGAUGCAGCAACGCCGCGUGCGGGAUGACGGCCUUCGGGUUGUAAACCGCUUUCGCCUGUGACGAAGCGUGAGUGACGGUAAUGGGUAAAGAAGCACCGGCUAACUACGUG